UACGUAGGGGGGCAAGCGUUGUCCGGAUUUAUUGGGCGUAAAGAGCGUGUAGGCGGCCUGAAAGGUCAGCUGUGAAAAACUCGAGGCUCAACCUCGAGACGUCGGUUGAAACCAUCUGGCUAGAGUCCGGAAGAGGAGUGUGGAAUUCCCGGUGUAGCGGUGAAAUGCGCAGAUAUCGGGAAGAACACCCGUGGCGAAGGCGGCACUCUGGGACGGUACUGACGCUGAGACGCGAAAGCGUGGGGAGCGAACGAGG
rnacentral:rRNA from 1 species